rnacentral:rRNA from 1 species
AAUCUGGCGUCCUCCGGGCGUCCGAGUUGUAAUCUACAGAAGCGUUUUCCGCGCCGGUCCGCGUCCAAGUCCCUUGGAACAGGGUAUCAAAGAGGGUGACAAUCCCGUACUUGACGCGACCGCCGGUGCUAUGUGAUACGUCUUCGACGAGUCGAGUUGUUUGGGAAUGCAGCUCAAAACGGGUGGUAAAUUCCAUCUAAGGCUAAAUAUUGGCGAGAGACCGAUAGCGAACAAGUACCGUGAGGGAAAGAUGAAAAGCACUUUGGAAAGAGAGUUAAACAGUACGUGAAAUUGUUGAAAGGGAAACGAUUGAAGUCAGUCGUGUCCGGGGGGUUCAGCCGGUUCUGCCGGUGUAUUCCCCUCGGACGGGUCAACAUCGGUUUUGACCGGCGGAAAAGGGCACGGGGAAUGUGGCACCUCCGGGUGUGUUAUAGCCCCGCGUCGCAUACGUCGGUCGAGACCGAGGAACGCAGCUCGCCUUCACGGCCGGGGUUCGCCCACGUACGAGCUUAGGAUGUUGACAAAAUGGCUUUAAACGACCCGUCUUGAAACACGGACCA